rnacentral:lncRNA from 1 species
CGACGCGCGCGAGUGCACCACUACUUGCACGUGCUGCAGCACACGCACACUCUAUCGCUCGGCCUGCUGCGCUCCGGACAGACUGGAAACACGGAGGCGAUUUUUGACACUUUUUUGUGCAAUGAUCCAAAAUUGGGCCAAACCGUAGUCGCCCACUUUCGGCGCUGAAAACUGCACUUUUAUCACUCAAAAUGGCGCCCCGGGUCGAGAUGGACCCUUGGGCGACCUCCACGGACCCCAGCAGGCACCACAGUUAGGCGCGUCCCCUUUGCCCAGGGCCUUCUGCGUUAGAUCAGGGGGCGAUUCCACCAACAACACCACACACUCUACAGCCUGGAGGAAGCCAUCAUCUUUGCUGUUUCGUGCAUCCAUCCCCAGUGCACACUUGGAUGCAAACACUCAAAUACCUAGAAUUCAAUCACUCGCGACGUCCGGAACCAUCGCGGAACGCACUUUUUAGACCCGGAACAAACUUUUUCCCUGGAAGCCCGACACAGAUCUCGACGGACCGACCGACCGAGCGACGACGACGUUUGGAUGCGCGACAGUGUCUCUCUUGUCUGAGCCUCUCCGUCCAUGUACUGCCGUAGAUAGAUGGAAGGUGGGGCUGUUCGCGCUCAGACUCUGGCCAACUCGGGAGAGAUCCAGAGCUGGUCGGGUUCGGGAGUUGCCGGGUGGAUCCCGAGGGAAACUUCAAAUCACUGUCAUCCAGCUUUACAAACCGGGUUUUAAACACUGUUUAAGAACAAGAACCAGCACGAGCUCCUGGAACUAUUUGUGCGAAUUAAGCCGUUUGUGCGUGUUUGUCUGGGUGCUGACACAUUUGGCUGGAACGUUGUGUACUUUUUGUACGGAACCAAAACGCAUGCCUUCGAUGGUGUUGGUAGAAUACGGCAAGAUAGGAGAAGAGAGAGCGCUCGCAAAACUGCUACAGAGAGUACACAGUACAAAGGGAGGUUGUUUAGGUGGACCGUGUUAUUGAGAGAAUUCUUUAAGUAUCCUAUCCUCCAAAUUGCACAGUGGAAGCAUUAAUGAUCCAAAACAACAACAUAAACAGACAAUUCUUUUAGUAAACAGACCAACUUGAGGAUCCUGAGCAGCAAAGUGCUACUCUCAAUAUUGGCAAUCGUCAGAGAGACUGAGAGAAACAGUUGUGAAUGGGUCCAAUAAGAAAGUAUUCACUUGCAUGCUGGCACCAUUGGUGCCUAGUGAGUUAAACAAAGAUGAAUGGAGCGGUGAAAUAAAAGGGGCUAGCUUCUACUGAUGACGCACAGAUGGCGGCGUUGAUUGGGUCUGGAGUGUUGCAUACUUCUGGGAGAACAGUAAUGCUCUAGAAUGAUUUAAUGUGGUUGCAUAAAUUUGAGAACAAAAAUGUGAAGACCGUUUUAGGAAGCUUACCACAAUAAGCUCAUGAAAUGAUUCUAUUACAAUUUACUUUUAAUGAUGCACUUAUUCCCUGGCAAUAAGAUCGAUCAUUACAAAGUUUUUGAUGAUAGGUUUAUUAUGCAUAAAUCUUUUUAAAAAUCGCAUACGCAUGGAGAUGGUGCGGGUUGCAGAGUGGAUUUCGGCAUGUUUUCAUGCUGAUUGUCCAGCCAGAUUGCUUAGAAAAUGGUUAAAGGGAAUUAAAACCAAUUCUAUCCGAACAGGACAAGCAGCACCAUGGCAGGUUCUGCCAAAAUCCAUACUGCAUAGACACAAAUCUCUGAGAUAAUGAUAUUUAUUAACUAUUUUAAUGACAUUUAGCAUCAUAAGUUCGUGCAUACAAGGGUGGAAAAUAGAUUUGACAUCUUAUAAAAAUGAAGUCAAACAAAAAUUUUGGGUUUUGGACUUCCUCACUGAGGUAAGGUUAUAAUUCUGCUCUAAAAAUGAACUUUUCAUAUAAGCUCGUAGACCCACCUUCGCAUAAACCUAUCAUCUGCCCGUCUAUGUGCAUGUAUGUGUGUCUGUGUGUUACCAAUUGUCACUCAGUUUUCUCAGCACUUUCUGAACCGAUUUAGGCCAAGCUGGUCGCAUUUGACUAGGUUUAGGAUCUAAUAGAUAGAGUUAAAAAAAAGUUUUGAUAAGAAGUUUAAAAAAACUAACUUUAAUCGAAAACGGAAAAAAACUGCAGGGAAUUCAGAAAAAAGAAAUUUAAAGAGAUAAAAAUAAGAAAAUAUUUGUACUGUUACAUUAAUUAAAUCCAUCGUGAUACAAAUUCUUCAGCCAGCUCUAAAAACUCUUCGCCAGUGCUCCAACGUGGGCAGCAAAUCUGCCCACUUCAAAGAAUUUCAAAAGCCGUUUCACACUUCCGGGUUGGGGUUUGGUGUGCAGCACUUGAGCAUUUGAACUUCACUGUGGCCAGCAAACAUAGGACGUAUUUUCAUUUUUUAUUGCACUGUUGCAUAGUUUUUUUCAUUCGAAAAAUCAUAGCAAGAACGUCAAAAGAAAAGUCAAACAUCAAAAGAAUCUCGCUGGUGGUUCUAGUUCGACAAUUAUCUUGAGUUUACAUGCUUUUCUCACUUGAACAACUUUUUCGGAACUUUUGUAGCGAGGUCAUAUGGUUAGCCAAUGGUGCUUCUGAAGUUUACUUUGUCUGGUACAAUUCUGAACAAAUUUGAUGCCUAAUAUAUAUGAAAGAUUAAAGUUUA